rnacentral:ncRNA from 2 species
CUCGUCCACCACGGGAGCUCGCGGCAGCGGGCUGAGAGGGAGCUGUUCCGCUCCGACCGUUGAACCUGAUCCGGGUAAAGCCGGCGAAGGAAGCGAGGAGCGAAGCGUGC